GGAGGAGGAGGCAGAGGCGGGCCAGGCCGGCCCCCUGGGUUCCCGGGUCGUGGGCGUUCCUGAGGCCGCAGAGCCCUACAGCGUGAACAACCACAGAAGGAAAAAGAGUGCUGUUGUGAAAGGUAUCUGACAUCAUGGACCCAACCAUCAUCUGGAGUUUCUCACUUCAUCUCUGGGUAUCCGAUUUUGAGGUUUAAAAAGAAUUAUUUCUUACCUGCGUGUACCAGAAACUGGCCAAAUUUGAAGCAGAUAGUGACUACUCUGUGGAGAGACAGCUGA
rnacentral:lncRNA from 1 species